GAGCGCGUUCGGCGAGGGCCGGAAGUAGCGGAGGGGGGCGGAGAAGAGCCUCCUGAAGGGAGGAGCCGAGAACCUGCGCAGGGGCGGCGUGGUGCCUCGGUUCUGAGGGAGAGCGCCCGAUGUGGGUGGGGUCGUACAGAUCGACUCGUCCCCUAACUCGGCAGAUGCAAAGACGGGCAUCUUCAGAGGGGUGGUGUUGAGUCCUUUUUUUUCCCUUGUGAGGAAAUGCUGUCGGGAGACGCUGGCAUUGUGUCAUCAGCAUUUACGUCGUCUUAAGGUAUCCAAGCCCAGGAUAUCCCACCACCUCUAGGACAUAGGCAAGUCCAUCACCUCUAGCGUUUCGGAAAUAACCUGCCCUAGCUUCAGUUGCCCGAGAUCAACUGUGGUUCAGAAGCAGAUGGUCCUCCUGACGUAUCUUCUAACGGUACAUCAGAAUACCUACAUCAUUUACCUCACUCUAUUUCAUCACACAGGCAUUUUGUCAUUUCAUGUCACCACAAAAAGGGGAAACAAAACACUUUGCAGGGCAUCGUGGCUCCAAUUUGGUGGGGAUCAAGCAGCACCUCUCACCAAGAAGAAGGGAAAGAAUGAGGUGGAUCGUGGUAGCAGGAGUGCGUAGCAUAUCUGACGUCAGCUAGCCGCCCAAAGAGCCAGAUGGAGCCCUAGCUGGCAGCAAUGGGGAGCAGGGAAGCUGGCUUCUUUCAAUCAGUCAUUCUGCGGAGUGCAGUGAGGACACCUCUCCCAAAGCUGCCGGAGCUGCAAGCCUGCCCCAGCAAGAUGAGAGGGAAGUCGGGAAGGCCAGAUUUAACCUUUGCUCUGUGUGGAAGAAACAUCUGUUAAGAAGAUCCGAUUUUAUGUGGUUAAAAUAACCGCAACAACUUUAUCAGGGUUUCUUUAAUCUCUGCUGAUACUCGCCAUUUCAGAGACUCUCAGCCCCUUCUGCUUUGAUUGUACCCCAAAAGGCCUGAUAAGAUCAACUCAGAUAAUGUGCUAAGCAGCCUUUUGUUAACUGUAAAAAUGUUUUAGGCAGAUAAGGUGUUAUUACCCUUCAUUUAUUUCAUAAAUAUUUAUUGAGAGACUGUCCCGAGCCGGGAAUUGUGGUAGAUGCUGGGGAACGUGUAGAGAAUGAAUCAGGCAGAGCGCUAGCCCAGCUCCUCGCGGAGCUUAUAUUCCAGAGUAGGGGUGACAGCCAGUAACCAAGAAUAUAGGAUAAAUUCUGGAGACCUCGCUCCAUCACCUAGAUAACUCGCUCUUUAAAACACCUCUCAAACACUAGUUCCUUCCAUAAGUAGUCCCUGGGUCCCCUUCUGUCCUUCCCACCAUGAAGUGUGCACAUCUCAUCACAGCUCUUACUUCACUAUAGUGUGAACGGGCCAGGUUUAUCUCCCUAUAUAUUGUGUCAUGUUGUGAGCUCCUCAGUGGCAGGUAACAUUUCCUAUUAUCUCCUUGGUACCUGUGAUGCCUGCCUUGCACAUAGCAUGUACUUAAUAUUUGUCACAAUGGAGCCAUUAAGACAUGGUGGUUAAUCGUGGCCCUGACAUCAUAGACUCUCAGUCCAGACCCAUAAAAUAGGAAGUGAUAUCUACAAUCAUACAGUCUAGCCCACCCUUUAUAUAUGAGGAACUCGAGCUUCAAUGGUAUGAUAUAUGACCCUGGGCAAAGCAAAUCCUCAUUCCGUGUCUCAGCAUCUGCAACUGUUAGGUAGAAUGAGAAUUUUCGAGCUGAAUGAAAUUCAGAAUGGUCCAAAUACUCCAUUUGAGAGGUGAUUAAAAUGAGAAGCAGAAAGAUUAAGCAACUCUUCUAAAAGUCUCACAGCAACUUAGGAGAAGAACCGAGAACAGAUCAGAUGUUCUGGAGCACAUAGUAAUUCUCUUGUCACAUUUCCUUGUUUCUUCUCCCCAUAAGCUUGGGUGGUAUCACAAGAAGGCCGUGAAGUUACGGGGAAACAAUAGAUAUGAAUACUGUGGAUGGAGUAUGAAUUAGUGCUACCACUCUGGAAAAAACGCUUUGUUAUUAUCUGGUAAAAAUGCAUGUCCAUUAUGACCCAGGGGUUCAACUCCCAGGAAUACGCCCUAGCAUUCUCGGACUUGUACGUACUUAGGCAUGCAAAAGAAUAUUCAGAAGAGCUUGAUGAAUAACAUUAGAAAACAAAACAAGAAACAGUCCCAAUGUCUAUUCACGGCAUGGCUAGAUAAAUGGAAGCAUACACAUAAAGUGGAAUAUGAUAUAGCAAAGAAAACAAGUCUCAAAUAUAAUGUUGAGUGAAACAAAAAAGCCUAGAGGACUACCGUCAGUAUCAUUUAUAGAAAAAUUCAAUUAUGAGCAAAUCUAAGCAAUACAGGUUGUGAAGCAAUAAAUAGCAAUAAGAGAUCAACAAACACAAAAUACUGAAAGUUCUAGUGUAACAUCAAUAUUCAGCCCAAACUAACUAUCACCGUUAUGGAAUGACCUUGUGAGAUGCAAGAAUAAACCUGAAACUUCCUCAUUAAAAAUGAUUAUUGCUACACUUCCAUUAAUAAGCAUUUUAUUAUCCACGGAGUUUUAGUUUUAGAUCCAGAACCGGCCAAUGUUUUUAAGGAAAACAUCAUCAGUUGCUAGAUUGCCCCCAUGGACACUGAACUGCACACUUAGGAAACUAAAUGGAUACUGUCAAGUGAGGUCAGGGCAGAAAGAAGCUAUUUUUAGGAUGCCUCCAUUUUCUUCCAUAUUUUCUUCAUUACAGGGGCGCCAGGCUGGCUCAGUUGGAAGGGCAUGUGACUCUUGAUCUCAGGGGUUGUGAGUUCAAGCCCCAUGUUGGGUGUA